AACGAACGCUGGCGGCAGGCCUAAACAUGCAAGUCGAACGAUGUAGCAAUACAUAGUGGCGCACGGGUGAGUAACGCGUGGGAAUGUACCUCUGGGUGCGGAACAACGUCGGGAAACUGACGCUAAUACCACAUAAUAUCUACGGAUCAAAGAUUUAUCGCCCAGAGAUCAGCCCGCGUUAGAUUAGCUAGUUGGUGGGG
rnacentral:rRNA from 1 species